UCCAGACUCCUACGGGAGGCAGCAGUGGGGAAUAUUGCACAAUGGGGGAAACCCUGAUGCAGCAACGCCGCGUGAGUGAAGAAGUCAUUCGUGAUGUAAAGCUCUCUCAGCAGGGAAGAAGCAAGACGGUACCUGACUAAGAAGCCCCGGCUAACUACGUGCCAGCAGCCGCGGUAAUACGUAGGGGGCGAGCGUUAUCCGGAUUCACUGGGUGUAAAGGGAGCGUAGACGGCCAUGCAAGCCAGGGGUGAAAGCCCGGGGCCCAACCCCGGGACUGCCCUUGGAACUGCAUGGCUGGAGUGCGGGAGGGGCAGGCGGAAUUCCUGGUGUAGCGGUGAAAUGCGUAGAUAUCAGGAGGAACACCGGCGGCGAAGGCGGCCUGCUGGACCGCGACUGACGUUGAGGCUCGAAAGCGUGGGGAGCGAACAGGAUUAGAUACCCGCGUA
rnacentral:rRNA from 1 species